CAGAGGUCCCAAGCGUUGUUCGGAUUUACUGGGCGUAAAGGGAGCGUAGGUGGCGGGCUAAGUCUACUGUGAAAGCUCUGAGCUUAACUCAGAAAUGGCAGUGGAUACUAGUUCGCUUGAGGAUUGGAGGGAGACUGGAAUGCUCGGUGUAGCAGUGAAAUGCGCAGAUAUCGAGCGGAACACCAGUGGCGAAGGCGAGUCUCUGGACAAUUCCUGACACUGAUGCUCGAAAGCUAGGGGAGCAAACGGGAUUAGAUACCCCGGUAGUCCUAGCUGUAAACGGUGCACGCUUGCUGUAGGUGGAAUCGACCCCGCUGUAGCGAAGCUAACGCGUUAAGCGUGCCGCCUGGGAAGUACGGUCGCAAGAUUA
rnacentral:rRNA from 1 species